rnacentral:rRNA from 1 species
GUUGUAUAGUUAAGUGACUAAGCGUACAAGGUGGAUGCCUUGGCAAUCAGAGGCGAAGAAGGACGUGCUAAUCUGCGAAAAGCUUGGAUGAGUCGAUAAGAGGCGUUUAAUCCAAGAUAUCCGAAUGGGGAAACCCAGUAGAUGAAGAAUCUACUAUCAACAAGUGAAUUCAUAGCUUGUUGAGGCAAACCGGGAGAACUGAAACAUCUAAGUACCCCGAGGAAAAGAAAUCAACCGAGAUUUCGUCAGUAGCGGCGAGCGAAAGCGAAAGAGCCAGUAAGUGAUAGCAAUAUAGUGAGGAGAAUGUGUUGGGAAGCACAAUCAAAGAGGGUGAUAAUCCCGUAUCUAAAAACCAUAUUGUGGUACUAAGCUAACGAGAAGUAGGGCGGGACACGUGAUAUCCUGUUUGAAGAAGGGGGGCCCAUCCUCCAAGGCUAAAUACUCCUGAUUGACCGAUAGUGAACCAGUACUGUGAAGGAAAGGCGAAAAGAACCCCGGUGAGGGGAGUGAAAUAGAACCUGAAACCUUGUACGUACAAGCAGUGGGAGCGAGGGCAACCUUGUGACUGCGUACCUUUUGUAUAAUGGGUCAGCGACUUAUAUUUUGUAGCGAGGUUAACCGAAUAGGGGAGCCGAAGGGAAACCGAGUCUUAACUGGGCGAAUAGUUGCAAGGUAUAGACCCGAAACCCGGUGAUCUAGCCAUGGGCAGGUUGAAGGUUGGGUAACACUAACUGGAGGACCGAACCGACUAAUGUUGAAAAAUUAGCGGAUGACUUGUGGCUGGGGGUGAAAGGCCAAUCAAACCGGGAGAUAGCUGGUUCUCCCCGAAAUCUAUUUAGGUAGAGCCUUGAGGUGACACCUUUGGGGUAGAGCACUGUUUCGGCUAGGGGGCCAUCCCGGCUUACCAACCCGAUGCAAACUACGAAUACCAAAGAGUGAUACUCAGGAGACACACGGCGGGUGCUAACGUCCGUCGUGGAGAGGGAAACAACCCAGACCGCCAGCUAAGGUCCCCAAGUCUAUAUUAAGUGGGAAACGAAGUGGGAAGGCUUAGACAGCUAGGAUGUUGGCUUAGAAGCAGCCAUCAUUUAAAGAAAGCGUAAUAGCUCACUAGUCGAGUCGGCCUGCGCGGAAGAUGUAACGGGGCUGAAAUAUAGCACCGAAGCUGCGGCAUCAGAAUUUAUUCUGUUGGGUAGGGGAGCGUUGUGUAAGCGGAAGAAGGUUCAUCGAGAGGUGGGCUGGACGUAUCACAAGUGCGAAUGCUGACAUAAGUAACGAUAAAACGGGUGAAAAACCCGUUCGCCGGAAGACCAAGGGUUCCUGUCCAACGUUAAUCGGGGCAGGGUGAGUCGGCUCCUAAGGCGAGGCUGAAAAGCGUAGUCGAUGGGAAACAGGUUAAUAUUCCUGUACUUGGUAAAGCUGCGAUGUGGGGACGGAGUAGGUUAGGUUAUCGCACUGUUGGAUAUGUGCGUUUAAGUUGGUAGGUGGGAAGUUUAGGCAAAUCCGGACUUCCUUAACACAGAGAGAUGAUGACGAGGCUCUACGGAGCUGAAGUAACUGAUACCACACUUCCAGGAAAAGCCACUAAGCGAAAGGCUUUACUAAACCGUACUGAAAACCGACACAGGUGGUCAGGUAGAGAAUACUCAGGCGCUUGAGAGAACUCGGGUGAAGGAACUAGGCAAAAUAGCACCGUAACUUCGGGAGAAGGUGCGCCGGCGUAGAUUGUAAGGGCUAGCCCCUGAAGGUUGAACCGGUCGAAGAUACCAGCUGGCUGCAACUGUUUAUUAAAAACACAGCACUCUGCAAACACGAAAGUGGACGUAUAGGGUGUGAUGCCUGCCCGGUGCUGGAAGGUUAAUUGAUGGUGUCAUCGAAAGAGAAGCACCUGAUCGAAGCCCCAGUAAACGGCGGCCGUAACUAUAACGGUCCUAAGGUAGCGAAAUUCCUUGUCGGGUAAGUUCCGACCUGCACGAAUGGCAUAAUGAUGGCCAGGCUGUCUCCACCCGAGACUCAGUGAAAUUGAAAUCGCCGUGAAGAUGCGGUGUACCCGCGGCUAGACGGAAAGACCCCGUGAACCUUUACUAUAGCUUGACACUGAACAUUGAAUUUUGAUGUGUAGGAUAGGUGGGAGCCUUUGAAGCAGUGACGCCAGUCAUUGUGGAGGCGACCUUGAAAUACCACCCUUUAACGUUUGAUGUUCUAACGAAGAUGACGAAACGUGGUCUCGGACAGUGUCUGGUGGGUAGUUUGACUGGGGCGGUCUCCUCCCAAAGCGUAACGGAGGAGCACGAAGGUUUGCUAAUCACGGUCGGACAUCGUGAGGUUAGUGCAAUGGUAUAAGCAAGCUUAACUGCGAGACAGACAAGUCGAGCAGGUACGAAAGUAGGUCAUAGUGAUCCGGUGGUUCUGAAUGGAAGGGCCAUCGCUCAACGGAUAAAAGGUACUCCGGGGAUAACAGGCUGAUACCGCCCAAGAGUUCAUAUCGACGGCGGUGUUUGGCACCUCGAUGUCGGCUCAUCACAUCCUGGGGCUGAAGUAGGUCCCAAGGGUAUGGCUGUUCGCCAUUUAAAGUGGUACGCGAGCUGGGUUUAGAACGUCGUGAGACAGUUCGGUCCCUAUCUGCCGUGGGCGUAGGAUGAUUGAUUGGGGCUGCUCCUAGUACGAGAGGACCGGAGUGGACGCAUCACUGGUGUUCCGGUUGUGUCGCCAGACGCAUUGCCGGGUAGCUAAAUGCGGAAGAGAUAAGUGCUGAAAGCAUCUAAGCACGAAACUUGCCAAGAGAUGAGUCAUCCCUGACUUUAAGUCAGUAAGGGUUGUUGUAGACUACGACGUAGAUAGGUUGGGUGUGUAAGUGAUGUGAGUCAUUGAGCUAACCAAUACUAAUUGCCCGAGAGGCUUAACUAUACAACGCUCAAG